AGUGAACGCUGGCGGUAGGCCUAACACAUGCAAGUCGAACGGCAGCACAGUAAGAGCUUGCUCUUACGGGUGGCGAGUGGCGGACGGGUGAGGAAUACAUCGGAAUCUACUUUUUCGUGGGGGAUAACGUCGGGAAACUUACGCUAAUACCGCAUACGACCUACGGGUGAAAGCAGGGGAUCUUCGGACCUUGCGCGAUUGUAUGAGCCGAUGUCGGAUUAGCUAGUUGGCGGGGUAAAGGCCCACCAAGGCGACGCUCCGUAGCUGGUCUGAGAGGAUGAACAGCCACACUGGAACUGAGACACGGUCCAGACUCCUACGGGAGGCAGCAGUGGAGAAUAUUGGACAAUGGGCGCAAGCCGGAUCCAGCCAUACCGCGUGGGUGAAGAAGGCCUUCGGGUUGUAAAGCCCUGUUGUUGGGAAAGAAAAGCAGCAGGUUAAUACCCCACUGUUCUGACGGUACCCAAAGAAUAAGCACCGGCUAACUUCGUG
rnacentral:rRNA from 1 species